rnacentral:rRNA from 1 species
CACCGCGGCUAUACGAGAGGCCCAAGUUGAUAGCACCCGGCGUAAAGAGUGGUUAUGGAAAACUAAUACUAAAGCCGCACACCUUCAAAGCUGUCAUACGCAUCCGAAGAGUAGAAGCCCAAUCACGAAAGUAGCUUUACAAAACCUGACCCCACGAAAGCUSUGGCA